rfam:Rattus norvegicus chromosome 9, whole genome shotgun sequence.
GGGGAUUUAGCUCAGUGGUAGAGCGCUUGCCUAGCAAGAGCAAGGCCCUGAGAUCAGUCCCCA